GGCGAUGAUGCAUAGCCGAGUUGAGAGACUGAUCGGCCACAGUUGGGACUGAGACACCGGACCCAAACUCCUACGGGAGGCAGCAGGUAGGGAAUUUUCCACAAUGGACGCAAGUCUGAUGGAGCAACGCCGCGUGAGUGAAGAAGGUUUUCGGAUCGUAAAGCUCUGUUGUUGGUGAAGAAGGAUAGAGGUAGUAACUGGCCUUUAUUUGACGGUAAUCAACCAGAAAGUCACGGGCUAACUACGUGCCAGCAGCCGCGGUAAAU
rnacentral:rRNA from 1 species